UAUUUUUAUUUUUAUUUUUGUUUUGUUUUAUUUUCACUUUUUCGCCGACACCGUUCAUUCUUUGGGAACCCCUGGACCUGGUGGAGCUGGACUCCGGCAGAUAUGUAAAGUACAGCACAGGCAAUAUUAGUCAGUAAUAUUGUAUUAAUGUUGUAUGGUGACAGAUGGUGACUACAUUUCUUGUGAUAUAGGGAGAAGGACAAAGAGAAGAAGCCCAAGAGCCACCCUUUCCACAGAAGAUAAUCUAAUAGCAGACAAACUCACUCCUAUAGCUGGGACACUAAAAACCCAUAGCUUACAUGUAAAGGAACAAGAAAUAAGCCUGCUUCUUUAAGAAUCUAAGUGCUGAAAGCAGAUCUGAGACAAAAUAAAACUUCUGUGAUAAUUCAUAACCACAGCCUACAAAGGUCCACCACCACCAACCUAGCUCUCUGGGCUGUUAGGAGCUUGCCACCAGUGUUCCAGCUGGGCCAGUCCCCAUCCUCUGAGGAGGUAACAUCAUCCUGACUUCAGUCCCAGUCACAAGAUCGAUCAGCAUCCAUCCACAGACAAGACACCACUGAGAAAAAUCCCAGAACCCAGUGGUAAGGCUGAAGCACCCCCCUGCACAGCAGACGCCAAGACAGAUCAUAUUAGAAGGGGAAGCAGAUUUGGAUCCUCUAAUCCUACCCAUCCCGGAAGUCUGGCCAGAGAACCGGGGCAGUUGCAGAGCAAAGCCAGGCCCGCCGUCUUGCCCAACUGUUGAGCACGGUCUCUGGUCCCACAUAACCUGGGAGCCUGAACAGCGACCCUGGGCAGCCUUGGAACACAGCCCGCUGUACCACCGAACCGUGGAGCCGUCCACAGCCUACCCAGCAGAGGAGCCCAGCC